rnacentral:rRNA from 1 species
ACAACUUUCAACAACGGAUCUCUUGGUUCUCGCAUCGAUGAAGAACGCAGCGAAAUGCGAUACGUAAUGUGAAUUGCAGAAUUCAGUGAAUCAUCGAAUCUUUGAACGCACAUUGCACUCCUUGGUAUUCCGAGGAGUAUGCCUGUUUCAGUAUCAUGAGCACUCUCACACCUAACCUUUGGGUUUAUGGCGUGGAAUUGGAAUGCGCCGACUGUC